GACGAACGCUGGCGGCGUGCUUAACACAUGCAAGUCGAACGGAAAGGCCCUGCUUUUGUGGGGUGCUCGAGUGGCGAACGGGUGAGUAACACGUGAGUAACCUGCCCUUGACUUUGGGAUAACUUCAGGAAACUGGGGCUAAUACCGGAUAGGAGCUCCUGCUGCAUGGUGGGGGUUGGAAAGUUUCGGCGGUUGGGGAUGGACUCGCGGCUUUUCAGCUUUUUGGUGGGGUAGUGGCUUACCAAGGCUUUGACGGGUAGCCGGCCUGAGAGGGUGACCGGCCACAUUGGGACUGAGAUACGGCCCAGACUCCUACGGGAGGCAGCAGUGGGGAAUAUUGCACAAUGGGCGGAAGCCUGAUGCAGCAACGCCGCGUGCGGGAUGACGGCCUUAGGGUUGUAAACCGCUUUCGCCUGUGACGAAGCGUGAGUGACGGUAAUGGGUAAAGAAGCACCGGCUAACUACGUG
rnacentral:rRNA from 1 species